rnacentral:rRNA from 1 species
GUGAGGAAUCUUCCACAAUGGGCGAAAGCCUGAUGGAGCAACGCCGCGUGCAGGAUGAAGGCCUUCGGGUCGUAAACUGCUUUUAUAAGUGAAGAAUAUGACGGUAACUUAUGAAUAAGCACCGGCUAACUACGUGCCAGCAGCCGCGGUCAUACGUAGGGUGCAAGCAUUAUCCGGAGUGACUGGGCGUAAAGAGUUGCGUAGGUGGUUUGUUAAGUAGGUAGUGAAAUCUGGCGGCUCAACCGUACAGGCUAUUACCUAAACUGGCAAACUCGAGAAUGGUAGAGGUAACUGGAAUUUCUUGUGUAGGAGUGAAAUCCGUAGAUAUAAGAAGGAACACCAAUGGCGUAGGCAGGUUACUGGACCAUUUCUGACACUGAGGCACGAAAGCGUGGGGAGCGAACGGGAUUAGAAACCCGGGUAGUCC